AGAGUUUGAUCCUGGCUCAGAUUGAACGCUGGCGGCGUGCCUAACACAUGCAAGUCGAGCGGUAACAGGUGUAGCAAUACAUGCUGACGAGCGGCGAACGGGUGAGUAAUGCUUCGGAAUCUGCCCAGUAGUGGGGAAUAACCAGCCGAAAGGUUGGCUAAUACCGCAUACGUCCUACGGGAGAAAGCGGGGGACCGCAA
rnacentral:rRNA from 1 species